rnacentral:misc_RNA from 1 species
GGAACUCAGAUCUCUCGUGGAAAUUGUAACGACAAAGUCAACUGAAAAGCUUCGUGAUUGCCAAGUGGUAUUGAAGAAAACUUGCCUAGCAGUUUCUAUGUUGAUCCUGAUCAACUCAACAAUCUCGGAGCCUAUGGAAAGGUAGUGGCCUGUGCAAAUGAGACCGUGGACGUUGAGAAGCCCCAGUUUACCUCUCCACCUCUCAAGGUGUAUGUCUACUCGUCACUGAACACCACAGGGAAUCUGCUGGUCGCUAACCUCGUUCUUCCCAUCCAUUUGAGGUAUCACAAACCGAGGGCCGGUGGAGGCUACGAAGUGGUGAAGAUCUCCAAGCCCCGCCUCUUCUUACGGUGUCCCAGAAGGCUGGACUGUCCCAAGCAAGGCACCAUGGUGUUUCCCUGCUAUCGGUGCAGUCUGAAUAAGUGUUCAUGGCUUGAGUUCUCCUUCAAAACGAACAUGGACCCCUUAAAAGUGACAGUGCCGGUCGGUGAUUUGAAUCAUAAACUGAUCAUUCAACUUCUCACAUUCCUAGUGACAAUUGGAGGAUCUAUCUAUAUAUUUUCAACUUUAGCCAGUAAAAUACCUCAUUUAUAAUGUUAAUCAUUGUUUAAACUCUAGUCUAUUUUACAACAGGAUAACAGGAGUUAAAAUAAUUGAAAUAAGUGUACUGUAAUGAAUUUAGGUAAUAUUAACUAAAUAAUAUUGAACUAAAGUUUUUCAUACUGAAUUGUUCGUCUGUAUUUUAUUGAAAAAAUGAUUGUUAAAGGAAUAUUGAACAAAAAUAAAUAGACUAGCAUGUGUUGUGAAAAAUUACAAAAAUAAAAUUUGGAAUUACUCAUUGUAAUAAAUGAAUAGCCUAAAUAAACACAAUAUAUUUCAUAACUUUUUAAACACCGACUUGUAGUUAUUUAUUUGAUGUUAUAAACUUUGACCCGGUUGCACAAAAGCCUUUUAAUUUAAUCAUGAUUAAAUACCAAUGUCAAGAGAACCAAUCAGAGAAAGCUAUUUGAAAAGAAGGCUUUUCUGAUUAAAAGGUUCUCGUGGUAUUAAUUCACGGUUAAAAUUCAACUGACUUUUGUGCAAACGGGCUUUGGAAUAUUUGUAGACUCAUUUAUUGAUUACUUGUGCGAUGAAAACGUAUUGACAUUUCGUUUUCAGCGAGUUCAAUUCUUAUUUCUGUGAUUUUUACCAUAUAUUCCAAUUAAUUAUUGACAAUAUUUAUUGUACUGAAUAAAGGAGUGUAUUAUCCAA